rnacentral:rRNA from 1 species
AUUGAACGCUGGCGGCAUGCCUUACACAUGCAAGUCGAACGGUAACGUGGGGCAACCUGGCGACGAGUGGCGAACGGGUGAGUAAUGCAUCGGAACGUGCCCAGUAGUGGGGGAUAGCCCGGCGAAAGCCGGAUUAAUACCGCAUACGACCUACGGGUGAAAGCGGGGGACCGUAAGGCCUCGCGCUAUUGGAGCGGCCGAUGUCAGAUAGGUUGUUGGUGGGGUAAAAGCCUACCAAGCCGACGAUCUGUAGCUGGUCUGAGAGGACGACCAGCCACACUGGGACUGAGACACGGCCCAGACUCCUACGGGAGGCAGCAGUGGGGAAUUUUGGACAAUGGGGGCGACCCUGAUCCAGCCAUGCCGCGUGCGGGAAGAAGGCCUUCGGGUUGUAAACCGCUUUUGUCAGGGAAGAAACGCUCUGGGCUAAUACCCCGGGGUAAUGACGGUACCUGAAGAAUAAGCACCGGCUAACUACGUGCCAGCCGCCGCAGUAAAAC